CAGUAGCGUAUAUUAAAGUUGUUGCAGUUAAAAAGUUCGUAGUUGAAUUUCUGCGUAGUGUACAGUUGAUCUUCGGAUCGGCUCGCAUUGCGCAUCCAUCUGAACAGCAGUUCAUGUCAUUGAUUUGGCGGUUCUGUGAUCAGAUACUUUACCUUGAGAAAAAUAGAGUGUUCCAAGCAGGCGCUCGCCUGAAUAAUAAAGCAUGGAAUAAUACAAAAGGACUGAGUUCUAUUGGUGCAUAGACCUUAGUAAUGAUUAAUAGGGACAGUUGGGGGCAUUCGUAUUUAAUUGUCAGAGGUGAAAUUCUUUGAUUUAUUAAAGACGAACCUAUGCGAAAGCAUUUGCCAAGGAUGUUUUCAUUAA
rnacentral:rRNA from 1 species